UACAGAGGUGGCAAGCGUUGUUCGGAAUUACUGGGCGUAAAGGCUCGUAGGCGGCCAACUAAGUCGGAUGUGAAAUCCCCAGGCUUAACCUGGGAACUGCAUCCGAUACUGGAUGGCUUGAAUUCGGGAGAGGGAUGCAGAAUUCCAGGUGUAGCGGUGAAAUGCGUAGAUAUCUGGAGGAAUACCGGUGGCGAAGGCGGCAUCCUGGACCGACAUUGACGCUGAUGAGCGAAAGCUAGGGGAGCAACGGG
rnacentral:rRNA from 1 species